CGGCAACAGCUCAAAUUUGAAAUCCGGCCUUGUGCCCGAGUUGUAAUUUGCAGAGGAUGCUUUUGGCGCGGUGCCUCCUAAGUUCCCUGGAACGGGACGCCACAGAGGGUGAGAGCCCCGUACAGUUGGACGCCAAGCCUGUGUAAAGCUCCUUCGAC
rnacentral:rRNA from 1 species